rnacentral:rRNA from 1 species
UACGUAGGGGGCAAGCGUUGUCCGGAAUCAUUGGGCGUAAAGAGCGCGUAGGCGGUCCGGUAAGUCCGCUGUGAAAGUCAAGGGCUCAACCCUUGAAUGCCGGUGGAUACUGUCGGGCUAGAGUCCGGAAGAGGCGAGUGGAAUUCCUGGUGUAGCGGUGAAAUGCGCAGAUAUCAGGAGGAACACCUAUGGCGAAGGCAGCUCGCUGGGACGUUACUGACGCUGAGACGCGAAAGCGUGGGGAGCAAACAGG